rnacentral:rRNA from 1 species
AUGUAUAACUAUAAGAAAAAGGAAGGGAAAUUGUAUACGAUUAAAAAGCUCGUGGGUUAGAGAUAUAGAAAAGAAAAAGUAGAAAAGAAUAAAAAAGAGGGAAUUCCUAAUCCAAUCAAAAAACCCAUUUUGGUCUUAGUGUGGAUAGAGGAUCUUCCUAUGUUAUACUAUAUAACUCUCAUCCGUGAAAUGUAA